AGUCGAAACGGGGCAUUAGCCCCGUCGUGUCAGGUGGUUCCUGGCACCUGAUGAUGACAACCAGAU
rnacentral:hammerhead_ribozyme from 1 species